rnacentral:rRNA from 1 species
UACAACUUUCAACAACGGAUCUCUUGGCUCUCGCAUCGAUGAAGAACGCAGCGAAAUGCGAUAAGUAAUGUGAAUUGCAGAAUUCAGUGAAUCAUCGAAUCUUUGAACGCACCUUGCGCUCCUUGGUAUUCCGAGGAGCAUGCCUGUUUGAGUGUCAUUAAAUUCUCAA